rnacentral:piRNA from 1 species
UAGUAAAUGUUUCUGCAGGUGUGUAU